GACGAACGCUGGCGGCGUGCUUAACACAUGCAAGUCGAGCGGGGAACUUCGGUUCCCAGCGGCGGACGGGUGAGUAACACGUGGGUAACCUGCCUUACAGUGGGGAAUAGCCUUCCGAAAGGAAGAUUAAUACCGCAUAAUACUCAGAGAUCACAUGAUCUUUGAGCCAAAGGAUUUAUUCGCUGUAAGAUGGACCCGCGGCACAUUAGCUUGUUGGUGAGGUAACGGCUCACCAAGGCUUCGAUGCGUGGCUGACCUGAGAGGGUGAUCGGCCACAUUGGAACUGAGACACGGUCCAGACUCCUACGGGAGGCAGCAGUGGGGAAUAUUGCACGAUGGAGGAAACUCUGAUGCAGCAACGCCGCGUGAGUGAUGAAGGUCUUCGGAUCGUAAAACUCUGUCUUAUGGGACGAUAAUGACGGUACCAUAGGAGGAAGCCACGGCUAACUACGUGCCAGCAGCCGCGGUAA
rnacentral:rRNA from 1 species